GACCAGUCUCUUUUGAAAAUUUCCAGGCUUCUUCCUCCGCAGUUGUUUUGGCAAGACAGUACCAAUCCUGGUAGAAUAACCUUGAUUAGAAAUUAGAAAUUAGAGGAAGGAAGGAAAGAAGGAAGAAAAUUAAGAUACCUCAAUUUGCCUGCAAUAUUCUUUGUCUGACCAAUAUUCUUCAUUCAUGAUCACAUCCUUUUUCCAGUUGGGAUUCUGUAUAACUGUCGCAGUUGAUGACACCAUCACAACCCGUUUGACCUUGGCUUCCAAGGCUGCCUUAAGAACAUUCUCUGUUCCGACCACUGUCGGUUCAAUGACUUGCUUCUGUAAGUGAUGAAAAUAAAAUAAGUCGACAGUAUGAAAACAAAAUAAUUUAAUUGAUCGAAGAUGAGUGAUGACCACAGGAUCUUUGAUGAACAUGGGAGGGAUGACUGGACUGGCGGCGUGGAUAACACCGUCACAGCCUUUGAUGGCUUGGAGUAGAGAAUCGUAGUCAAGAACAUCUGCCUUAAAAAGUUGCAGGUUUUCCCCAGCUUUAUCCAUCUUGAUGAGAUGGGAGUUUUUUUUCUCAUCGGCUGCAAAAAUAAACUUUUCAUUGGCUAAAAAGUUGCAGGUUUUUCUUCUCAUCGGAGUUCAUAAAUGAUAAAUGAUUAGACUUACUUGGAUCCCUGACAGUUCCAUGAACUUUGUAUCCACCGGAGAGGAGAAGCUUCACCGUCCAAGAAGCUAUGUAACCUCCGGCACCAACAACACACACGGUUCCUUUCACUCCUUCCAUCUCUUCUCUACCGAUUUAUUGAUAUGAUGAUACUUCAUCAUAUCUAUAUGAUAUAUAGAAACUUCAUCACUACUUUCUACCUACCGAGGAAGAUUGAUUCAUAGGGCGGCUGUGGAUGGGUUGGUGGAUGAAACGAUAAUUCAUUGACUAUUAAAAUUUGACAUUUUGUACAACUUGUCUUUCAACUCGAU
rnacentral:lncRNA from 1 species